GACGAACGCUGGCGGCGUGCUUAACACAUGCAAGUCGAACGGAAAGGCCCUGCUUUUGUGGGGUGCUCGCGUGGCGAACGGGUGUGUAACACGUGAGUAACCCGCCCUUGACUUUGGGAUAACUUCAGGAAACUGGGGCUAAUACCGGAUAGGAGCUCCUGCUGCAUGGUGGGGGUUGGAAAGUUUCGGUGGUUGGGGAUGGACGCGCGGCUUAUCAGCUUGUUGGUGGGGUAGUGGCUUACCCAGGCUUUGACGGGUAGCCGGCCUGAGAGGGUGACCGGCCACAUUGGGACUGAGAUACGGACCAGACUCCUACGGGAGGCAGAAGUGGGGAAUAUUGCACAAUGGGCGGAAGCCUGAUGCAGCAACGCCGCGUGCGGGAUGACGGCCUUCGGGUUGUAAACCGCUUUCGCCUGUGACGAAGCGUGAGUGACGGUAAUGGGUAAAGAAGCACCGGCUAACUACGUG
rnacentral:rRNA from 1 species